GAUGAAGAACGCAGCGAAAUGCGAUAACUAAUGUGAAUUGCAGAAUUCCGUGAAUCAUCGAGUCUUUGAACGCACAUUGCGCCCCCUGGUAUUCCGGGGGGCAUGCCUGUCCGAGCGUCAUUGCUGCCCAUCAAGCACGGCUUGUGUGUUGAGUCCUCGUCCCCCCCGGGGGACGUGCCCGAAAGGCAGCGGCGGCACCGCGUCCGGUCCUCGAGCGUAUGGGGCUUUGUCACCCGCUCUGCAGGCCCGGCCGGCGCUGGCCGACGCGAAAGCAACCAUUUUUUCUCCAGGUUGACCUCGGAUCAGGUAGGGAUACCCGCUGAACUUAAGCAUAUCAAUAAGCGGAGGA
rnacentral:misc_RNA from 1 species